GACGAACGCUGGCGGCGUGCCUAAUACAUGCAAGUUGAGCGCUGAAGGUUGGUACUUGUACCAACUGGAUGAGCAGCGAACGGGUGAGUAACGCGUGGGGAAUCUGCCUUUGAGCGGGGGACAACAUUUGGAAACGAAUGCUAAUACCGCAUAAAAACUUUAAACACAAGUUUUAAGUUUGAAAGAUGCAAUUGCAUCACUCAAAGAUGAUCCCGCGUUGUAUUAGCUAGUUGGUGAGGUAAAGGCUCACCAAGGCGAUGAUACAUAGCCGGCCUGAGAGGGUGAUCGGCCAAAAUGGGACCGGGACAAGGCCCAAACUCCUACGGGAGGCAGCAGUAGGGAAUCUUCGGCAAUGGACGAAAGGCUGACCGAGCAACGCCGCGUGAGUGAAGAAGGGUUUCGGAUCGUAAAACUCUGUUGGUAGAGAAGAACGUUGGUGAGAGUGGAAAGCGCAUCAAGUGACGGUAACUACCCAGAAAGGGACGGCUAACUACGUG
rnacentral:rRNA from 1 species